AUUGAACGCUGGCGGCAGGCUUAACACAUGCAAGUCGAGCGGGGGAAGGUAGCUUGCUACCGGACCUAGCGGCGGACGGGUGAGUAAUGCUUAGGAAUCUGCCUAUUAGUGGGGGACAACAUCUCGAAAGGGAUGCUAAUACCGCAUACGUCCUACGGGAGAAAGCAGGGGAUCUUCGGACCUUGCGCUAAUAGAUGAGCCUAAGUCGGAUUAGCUAGUUGGUGGGGUAAAGGCCUACCAAGGCGACGAUCUGUAGCGGGUCUGAGAGGAUGAUCCGCCACACUGGGACUGAGCCACGGCCCAGACUCCCACGGGAGGCAGCAGUGGGGAAUAUUGGACAAUGGGGGGAACCCUGAUCCAGCCAUGCCGCGUGUGUGAAGAAGGCCUUAUGGUUGUAAAGCACUUUAAGCGAGGAGGAGGCUACUCUAGUUAAUACCUAGGGAUAGUGGACGUUACUCGCAGAAUAAGCACCGGCUAACUCUGUGCCAGCCGCCGCCGUAACAC
rnacentral:rRNA from 1 species